rnacentral:rRNA from 1 species
AGGACGAACGCUGGCGGCGUGCUUAACACAUGCAAGUCGAGCGGAAAGGCCCUUCGGGGUACUCGAGCGGCGAACGGGUGAGUAACACGUGAGCAACCUGCCCUUAGCUCUGGGAUAGCUCCGGGAAACCGGAAUUAAUACCGGAUACGACCUAGGCCGACAUCGGCCGUGGUGGAAAGUUUUUCGGCUAGGGAUGGACUCGCGGCCUAUCAGCUAGUUGGUGGGGUAAAGGCCUACCAAGGCGACGACGGGUA